rnacentral:snRNA from 1 species
GUGCUCGCUUCGGCUGCACAUAUACUAAAAUUGAAUACAGAGAAGAUUAGCAUGGCCUCUGCGCAAGGAUGACACGCAAAUUCGUGAAGCGUUUCACAUUUUU